UACGAAGGGGGCUAGCGUUGUUCGGAAUCACUGGGCGUAAAGGGCUCGUAGGCGGUCUGUCGCGUCGAAAGUGAAAACUCAGGGCUUAACCCUGAGCCUGCUUCCGAUACGGGCAGACUAGAGGUAUGCAGGGGAGAACGGAAUUCCUGGUGUAGCGGUGAAAUGCGCAGAUAUCAGGAGGAACACCGGUGGCGAAGGCGGGUCUCUGGGCCGAUACUGACGCUGAGGAGCGAAAGCAUGGGUAGCGAACAGG
rnacentral:rRNA from 1 species